AACAGCAACAAGAAACACAACAAUGAAAGCGUCGGCAGCGACUGCAACAGCGACAGCGGCAGCGUAAUAAUAGAGAAUAACAAUCAAAUGGCUUGCGACAUCUUCAACUGCUGCCACGCCUACUAUGUGGUUAUCCAUGCAACUUUAUGGACUUGCCAAGUGUGCUUUGGGCUGCGUUAUUUGUGCGCAGUCAUUAAAUUUAUGCGACGCUGAGCACGCGCGGGCGCUAAACGCUACAAAUAAACGCUGCCUAGCCAACAACAACAACGAGUUGCAAGCAAACAGUAAAUGCAAAGGCAACUAAUGAAGAAUUCGAAAGCAAAUUGUGAGCAAUUUCUCAAAAGGCCAAAGGACAGACCGAGCGAGUAAUGAAGAAAUUCGCCAUAAUUGGAUGCACAGAUGGCCGAUACGAAGCAAUGCGAUAGAUAGAUGGCUUCAACACAAAGGCCUACACACGCGCAGCCAAACAGGGAAGGCCCAAAUUGUAAACACGACUGACAAAAAGGAUGUGGACUGAGUUCAGCUGAAGAUGAUUGAAUGCGGCAAAGGCAAACAAAUAAAGGCGGAGACCGAUGCAGAGGCAGCGCAGCGGCAGAGCAUUCCACAGCAGCAUUGACAAAGGUGUGUGCUAUUUUGGAUGAAGCAGAGCAAUAAUAAUAACACACAUAAAAAUGGAAAUGAAAAUGAAAAGAGUUGCAAUUUGUUAUUUGUAGCGACGCUUUGAUGGAUGAGUCGCAUGGCUUAAACGGGCGAGUAAAAGCAAAACCACCUUGAAUGCGACGUGGGGCUACAAAUGCUACAAAUGAAAAGGGUUGUUGCUAAGCGAAACGCUAGCCAGUCAAAUAUGUGUGUAUGUGUGUGUGAGCAUACAAAAGCUGGUAACUGCAUGCAAGGCACAUACAAAAGAAAAAGUAUGAAAAAUGGAAAUUGAAAGUAUUCUAGAUAGAUGUUGCUUAUAUAGAUGAAAAAUGAAGCAGGUUGAGGUUGACACAGCGGUGCGAAGACAAUUCGUAUAAAAAAUGAAAUAUGAGCAGAAUGUGUGGCUGUAGAUUCGGCGGAUUUUUCAUUCUUCGCUUUAAUUUUUUGUGUACGGAAAAGUAACCAUUGUCGAGAGGAAUGUAAGUAAGGGAGGUUUGAAGAUUGGCAAAAAAUUUCCUAAAAGGUUUAAUAAAGCUGUUGUUGGCACAAUAAAGCAUUGUACAUUUUGCAAAAAAAUCGUUGACAAUUCAUUUACACUGAAUUUGGAGGUACAUACAUAUGUCUUUAAAAAGGUCUUUUAGGUUAAGUAUUUUGUUGUACAAAAAGUAGAUUAAAUAUGGCAAGGAAAAUAUGUAUGUAUAUCGUCACCUAAAAUGCAAAAUAACGUAAUAUGACUUUUCAUAAGGUUACAAGCGAAGCACAAACUACUCAUAUUGA
rnacentral:lncRNA from 1 species